rnacentral:rRNA from 1 species
CCCAGGAAAAGCCUCUAAGCUUCAGUUGCAUGGGACCGUACCGUAAUCGGACACACGUGGGCAGGAUGAAGAUUCUAAGGCGCUUGAGAGAACUCAGGAGAAGGAACUCGGCAAAUUGACACCGUAACUUCGGAAGAAGGUGUGCCCUGGUAGGUUGUAGCCGUACAGGCGAAGGCCGAAGGGGUUGCAAAAAAUCGGUGGCUGCGAGUGUUUAAUAAAAACACAGCACUCUGCAAACACGAUGAGUGGACGUAUAGGGUGUGACGCCUGCCCGGUGCCGGAAGGUUAAAUGAUGGGGUGCAAGCUCUUGAUUGAAGCCCCGGUAAACGGCGGCCGUAACAAUAACGGUCCUAAGGUAGCGAAAUUCCUUGUCGGGUAAGUUCCGACCUGCACGAAUGGCGUAACGAUGGCCACACUGUCUCCUCCUGAGACUCAGCGAAGUUGAAAUGUUUGUGAUGAUGCAAUCUACCCGCGGCUAGACGGAAAGACCCCGUGCACCUUUACUGUAGCUUUGCAUUGGACUGUGAUGGGAUCUGUGUAGGAUAGGUGGGAGGCUUUGAAGUGGGGGCGCUAGCCCUCAUGGAGCCGUCGUUGAAAUACCACCCUGAUGUCAUUGCGGUUCUAACCUUGGCCCCUUAGCGGGGUUGGGGACAGUGCAUGGUAGGCAGUUUGACUGGGGCGGUCUCCUCCCAAAGAGUAACGGAGGAGCUCGAAGGUACGCUAGGUACGGUCGGACAUCGUGCUGAUAGUGCAAUGGCACAAGCGUGCUUGGCUGCGAGACUGACAAGUCGAGCAGGUGCGAAAGCAGGACAUAAUGAUCCGGUGGUUCUGAAUGGAAGGGCCAUCGCUCAACGGAUAAAAGGUACGCCGGGGAUAACAGGCUGAUUCCUCCCAAGAGUUCAUAUCGACGGGGGAGUUUGGCACCUCGAUGUCGGCUCAUCACAUCCUGGGGCUGUAGCCGGUCCCAAGGGUAUGGCUGUUCGCCAUUUAAAGUGGUACGUGAGCUGGGUUUAAAACGUCGUGAGACAGUUUGGUCCCUAUCUGCCGUGGGCGUUGGACGUUUGAGGGGGGCUGCUCCUAGUACGAGAGGACCGGAGUGGACGCACCUCUGGUGUACCGGUUAUCACGCCAGUGGUAUUGCCGGGUAGCUAAGUGCGGAAGAGAUAAGCGCUGAAAGCAUCUAAGCGCGAAACUUGCCUCGAGAUGAGACGUCCCGUGAUGUAAGUCACCUAAAGGGUCGCGGUAGACCACCGCGUUGAUAGGUCGGGUGUGGAAGCGCAGUAAUGCGUUAAGCUAACCGAUACUAAUUGCCCGUGCGGCUUGAUCCU